AUUGAACGCUGGCGGCAUGCUUUACACAUGCAAGUCGAACGGUAACAGGCCGCAAGGUGCUGACGAGUGGCGAACGGGUGAGUAAUGCAUCGGAACGUGCCCAGUCGUGGGGGAUAACUACUCGAAAGAGAAGCUAAUACCGCAUACGAUCUAUGGAUGAAAGCGGGGGACCGUAAGGCCUCGCGCGAUUGGAGCGGCCGAUGUCAGAUUAGGUAGUUGGUGGGGUAAAGGCUCACCAAGCCAACGAUCUGUAGCUGGUCUGAGAGGACGACCAGCCACACUGGGACUGAGACACGGCCCAGACUCCUACGGGAGGCAGCAGUGGGGAAUUUUGGACAAUGGGCGCAAGCCUGAUCCAGCAAUGCCGCGUGCAGGAAGAAGGCCUUCGGGUUGUAAACUGCUUUUGUACGGAACGAAACGGCUCUGGUUAAUACCCGGGGCUAAUGACGGUACCGUAAGAAUAAGCACCGGCUAACUACGUG
rnacentral:rRNA from 1 species